rnacentral:rRNA from 1 species
CGCCUGUUUAUCAAAAACAUCGCCUCUUGUUCAAUUAUAGGAGGUCCAGCCUGCCCAGUGACUUUGUUCAACGGCCGCGGUAUCCUAACCGUGCGAAGGUAGCGUAAUCACUUGUUCUUUAAAUGAGGACUAGUAUGAAUGGCCCCACGAGGGCUGCACUGUCUCCUUUUUCUAAUCAAUGAAACUAAUCUCCCCGUGAAGAAGCGGGAAUUAUCCUAUAAGACGAGAAGACCCUAUGGAGCUUUAAACAAUUGAAACAUUUGCUUUCCUCCUAACUCCUCCCGAGCUCUUUAUUUUUAUUUAAGCAUUAUUAUUUCUAGUUUUAGGUUGGGGUGACCACGGAGCAAAACUAAACCUCCAUGAAGAAAUGAAUAUUUUUAAGCCACAAACUACUUUUUUAAGCAUCAACAAAUUGACCUUCAUUGACCCAAUAUAUUGAUCAACGAACCAAGUUACCCUAGGGAUAACAGCGCAAUCUACUUCAAGAGCUCAUAUCGACAAGUAGGUUUACGACCUCGAUGUUGGAUCAGGGUAUCCUAGUGGUGCAGCCGCUACUAAUGGUUCGUUUGUUCAACGAUCAAAACCCU